AUUGAACGCUGGCGGCAGGCCUAACACAUGCAAGUCGAGCGGAUGACGGGAGCUUGCUCCUUGAUUCAGCGGCGGACGGGUGAGUAAUGCCUAGGAAUCUGCCUGGUAGUGGGGGACAACGUUUCGAAAGGAACGCUAAUACCGCAUACGUCCUACGGGAGAAAGCAGGGGACCUUCGAGCCUUGCGCUAUCAGAUGAGCCUAGGUCGGAUUAGCUAGUAGGUGAGGUAAUGGCUCACCUAGGCGACGAUCCGUAACUGGUCUGAGAGGAUGGUCAGUCACACUGGAACUGAGACACGGUCCAGACUCCUACGGGAGGCAGCAGUGGGGAAUAUUGGACAAUGGGCGAAAGCCUGAUCCAGCCAUGCCGCGUGUGUGAAGAAGGUCUUCGGAUUGUAAAGCACUUUAAGUUGGGAGGAAGGGCAGUAAGUUAAUACCUUGCUGUUUUGACGUUACCGACAGAAUAAGCACCGGCUAACUCUGUGCCAGCAGCCGCCGCAGUAA
rnacentral:rRNA from 1 species